GAUGAACGCUGGCGGCGUGCUUAAUACAUGCAAGUCGAGCGAACGGACGAGACACUUGCUUCUCUGAUGUUAGCGGCGGACGGGUGAGUAACACGUGGAUACCCUACCUAUAAGACUGGGAUAACUUCGGGAAACCGGAGCUAAUACCGGAUAAUCUUCUGCUCCGCAUGGUUCAAAAGUGACAGUCGGUCUUGCUGUCACUUAUAGAUGGAUCCCCGCGGUAUUAGCUAGUUGGUACGGUACCGGCUUACCAAGGCAAGGAUGCAUAGCCGACCUGAGAGGGGUGUCGGCCACCGUAGAAGCGAGACACGGGCCAAGGGCCUACGGAAGGCAGCAGAAGGCAAUAUCCCGCAAAGGGCGAAAGCCUGACGGAGCAAAGCCGCGAGGGUGGCAGAGGUCUUCGGAGCGUGAAGCUGGGGUACUGGGGAAGAACAGAUGUGUAAGUAACUGUGGACAUCGUGACGUUACCACCGAAGAGAGCAACGGCUAACUACGUG
rnacentral:rRNA from 1 species